UGGGGCACAGAUACACCACCCGCCCUGGGCCACCUCUGCAGACCACAGACCACGAGGCUCCGCGAGCCACAGGGGAGCUGCAGGUGUGUUUAAAGCUGACCAGCUGCUUCCCGGUCACCGCAGGAGCUGACCCUGCUGGCUGGAUGCCAUCCACUCUGUCCCCUGCUCCUCGCUGAACCCCCGUCGAAGGGGCUGGGUCCUCCCUCACAGAAAAAAAGCAGGUGAUGAGGGGCCACGGCAGUGUCCUGAGGUCCCCCAGCUGGCAAGAGCUAGGACAAGUGCACAUUUGAGGCAGGCAAUUGGCAAAGCGCUCCCCAGAUGCCGCAGGACAAUGGGGUCUGGCUGGCAGCUGUCCUCGAGGCGGGCAAAACUAGUGUAUGCAUUUGAUAGGUGGGAAGACUGAGGCCCCGAGAGGUUCAGUGACUUCCCCAAGGUCACACGGCGAGUCAGCGGUAGAGCUGCGAUCUGAACCUGACUCUGGAACUGCACUCCACGCUCCCUUACCUAUUCCCGGUGGCCUCGGCUCUGAAGGGCAGGAACUGGGUCCUGUGGCCCUUGGAACCUCCACCAUAUAUACCAUCAUGUAAACGUGUUUGUUGAGUGAAUAAAUGAGUGAAUUAUG